GAUGAACGCUGGCGGCGUGCCUAAUACAUGCAAGUCGAGCGAACAGACGAGGAGCUUGCUCCUCUGACGUUAGCGGCGGACGGGUGAGUAACACGUGGAUAACCUACCUAUAAGUCUGGGAUAACUUCGUGAAACCGGAGCUAAUACCGGAUAAUAUAUUGAACCGCAUGGUUCAAUAGUGAAAGACGGUUUUGCUGUCACUUAUAGAUGGAUCCGCGCCGCAUUAGCUAGUUGGUAAGGUAACGGCUUACCAAGGCAACGAUGCGUAGCCGACCUGAGAGGGUGAUCGGCCACACUGGAACUGAGACACGGUCCAGACUACUACGGGAGGCAGCAGUAGGGAAUCUUCCGCAAUGGGCGAAAGCAUGACGGAGCAAAGCCGCGUGAGUGAUGAAGGUCUUAGGAUCGUAAAACUCUGUUAUUAGGGAAGAACAAAUGUGUAAGUAACUAUGCACGUCUUGACGGUACCUAAUCAGAAAGCCACGGCUAACCACGUG
rnacentral:rRNA from 1 species